GGUAAUGGUAAUCCUGUGAUGCUUUCGCGGCGAUCUUUUGCCCCGCAUGCGAUGCCGUAUUCGUACUCGUAGUCACGGAUGAUAUCUUGAACUGUGAUUGUUUCAUAAUUUUACAAAGAAAGGUUAUGUUUGUAAAGUUAAAAGUCGGUUCGGAAACUGUUUUUCGAGUGUUUGUGCCGUGAAUCGUGAAAUUAAAUUAGGUAAGGUUUGUUACAGUUUUCGUAUUUAAUGUAUAUUGUGUGUGCCGACGAUUCUAUGUGGACAGCAGACUUGGAAUAACUUUCCUGGAUUUAUUUGACGGAUAUUUGAGCGUGGCGUGGUGAGGUUGGUUGGUCGCGAUGACGACCGACAUAUCGGUGUCCCGCUGGGACCCGUCCAUCGGCCACGGACAGGAGAUCAUUGACGAGUUCGAGUACGAUGGCGGCAAUUCGUCGUCGAGGCUAUUCGAACGAUCGCGCAUUAAAGCGCUAGCAGACGAACGAGAAAGCGUGCAAAAGAAGACUUUCCAGAAAUGGGUGAACUCACAUUUGGUGCGUGUGGGUUGCCGUAUCGGCGAUCUAUACGUGGACAUGAGAGACGGCAAAAUGCUUAUCAAACUGUUGGAGGUGCUAUCGGGAGAGAGACUGCCUCGCCCGACCAAAGGCAAGAUGAGAAUCCAUUGCCUGGAGAACGUUGACAAAGCGCUGCAGUUCCUGCGGGAACAACGCGUGCACCUGGAGAACAUGGGCUCCCACGAUAUCGUUGACGGGAACCCGAGACUCAACCUCGGUCUUAUUUGGACGAUUAUACUUCGUUUCCAGAUCCAAGACAUCACAAUCGAAGAGACAGACAAUAAAGAGACAAAGUCCGCGAAGGACGCUUUGCUAUUAUGGUGUCAAAUGAAGACAGCCGGAUACAACAACGUGAAUGUACGCAACUUCACGACCUCCUGGCGCGACGGGUUGGCGUUCAACGCGAUCAUACACAAGCACAGACCCGACCUGAUACAGUUUGAGAAACUGCACAGAAGCAACCCGUUGCACAAUCUAAACAACGCCUUCAACGUCGCCGAGGAUAAGCUCGGACUUACUAAAUUGCUUGAUGCUGAAGACAUUGCUGUUGACCAUCCUGAUGAAAAAUCCAUCAUCACAUAUGUGGUGACAUACUACCACUACUUCAGCAAGCUGAAGCAGGAGACGGUACAGGGCAAGAGGAUCGGCAAGGUGGUCGGCAUAGCGAUGGAGAAUGAAAAGAUGAUGCACGAAUACGAAUCACUUACGAGCGAUCUGCUACAAUGGAUAGAGCGCACCAUCGAAGCGCUGGGCGACAGGACCUUCGCCAAUUCAUUGGAAGGAGUACGACAACAACUUAUACAGUUCGCCAACUACCGCACUGUGGAGAAACCACCCAAGUUCGUGGAGAAGGGCAACCUGGAGGUGGUGCUGUUCACGCUGCAGUCGCGCAUGCGCGCCGCCAACCAGCGGCCGUACACGCCGCGCGAGGGCCGCAUGAUCCACGACAUCAACCGCGCCUGGGAGCGCCUCGAGAAGGCCGAGCACGAGCGCGAGCUCGCGCUGCGCGAGGAGCUCAUCCGCCAGGAGAAGCUCGAGCAGCUCGCCGCCAGAUUCAACCGCAAAGCACAAAUGCGAGAGACAUGGCUGUCGGAGAAUCAGCGGCUGGUGAGCCAGGACAACUUCGGGUUCGAUCUGGCCGCGGUGGAGGCGGCCGCCAAGAAGCACGAGGCCAUCGAGACAGACAUCUUCGCUUACGAAGAGCGCGUGCAGGCUGUUGUCGGCGUCUGCUCCGAGUUGCAGGCCGAGAGGUAUCACGAUUUGGAGCGCGUAUCGGCCCGACGCGACAAUGUAUUGCGUUUGUGGGCAUAUCUAUUGGAACUUCUACGCGCCCGCCGCGCUCGACUCGAACUUUCUCUGCACUUGCAGCAGAACUUCCAGGAAAUGUUGUACAUCCUGGACUCGAUGGAAGAAAUCAAGAUGCGCCUGCUCACGGACGAUUACGGCAAGCAUCUGAUGGGUGUGGAAGACCUGCUACAGAAGCACGCGCUCGUCGAGGCCGACAUCAACGUACUGGGAGAACGCGUCAAGGUGGUGGUCGGGCAGUCGCAGCGGUUCCUGGAGCAGGAGGAGGGCGGCUACCGGCCGUGCGACCCCGCCAUCACCGUCGAGCGCAUCCAGCAGCUCGAGAACGCGUACGCGGAGCUCGUGCACCUCGCCGUCGAGCGCAGAAAACGGUUGGAGGACAGCCGCAAAUUGUGGCAGUUCUACUGGGACAUGGCCGACGAGGAAAACUGGAUCAAGGAGAAGGAACAGAUCGUCUCCGUGGACGACAUCGGCCACGACCUCACUACUGUGUACCUGCUGAUCUCGAAGCACAAGGCGCUGGAGGCGGACGUGCAGGCGCACGAGCCGCAGCUGAUGGACGUGGCCGCCGUCGGCGACGAGCUCGUCUCGCAGGGACACUUCGGCGCCGACAGAAUACAGGAGCGGCUGCGCGACAUCCUGUCGCAAUGGAACCACCUGUUGGACCUGGUCGCGCUGCGCAAGAACCGGCUCGACGCCGCCGUGCGCUACCACCAGCUGUUUGCCGAUGCGGACGACAUCGACAACUGGAUGCUGGACACGCUCAGAUUGGUGUCCUCCGAAGACACGGGUGUGGACGAGUCUCAGGUGCAGAGCCUGCUGAAGAAACACAAGGAUGUCACCGACGAACUCAAGAACUACGCCACCGUUAUCGAGCAGCUUAAACAACAGGCGGCGGCGCUGAGCCCCGAGGACGCGGCGAGCGAGGCGGUGCGCGCGCGGCUGGCGGCGGCGGACGCGCGGCACGCCGAGCUGGCGCAGCUGGCGCGCCUGCGCAAGCAGCGCCUGCUCGACGCGCUCUCGCUCUGCAAGCUGCGCGCCGAGGCCGACGCCGCGCACCAGUGGAUCGCCGAGAAGGACCGCAUGCUCGACACCAUGCUGCCGCCCAAGGACAUCGACGACGUCGAGAUCAUGAAGCACAGAUACGACGGGUUCGACAAGGAGAUGAACGCGAACGCGUCCCGCGUGGCGGUGGUGAACCAGCUGGCGCGGCAGCUCAUCCACGUGGAGCACCCGCAGGCGCCGCACAUCCAGCGUCGCCAGGCCGACCUCAACCAAGCCUGGGCUGCGCUCCGCGACAAGGCGGAACAAAAGAAGGACGAGUUGAAAUCAGCACAAGGCGUGCAGACAUUCCAUAUCGAAUGCCGCGAGACCGUCUCCUGGAUCGAGGACAAGAAGCGUAUCCUGCAACAAACCGGGGAUUUGGAGAUGGACCUCAACGGCGUGAUGACGCUGCAGCGGCGGCUGUCGGGCAUGGAGCGCGACCUGGCGGCCAUCCAGGCGCGCAUCUCGUCGCUGGAGAGCGAGGCGCAGGCCAUCGAGGAGGAGCACCCCGACGAGGCGCAGCUCAUCCGCGACCGCGUGCACCUCAUCACCGAGAACUGGGACCAGCUCACGCAGAUGCUCAAAGAGCGCGACGCAAAACUGGAGGAAGCAGGCGACCUCCACCGUUUCCUGCGCUCAGUGGACCACUUCCAAGCCUGGCUCACCAGGACUCAGACCGACGUCGCUUCCGAAGAUACACCAUCAAGUUUGGCGGAGGCGGAGAAACUGCUGUCUCAGCACCAGACCAUCAAGGAGGAGAUCGACAACUACAAGGACGAGUACGCGAAGAUGAUGGAAUAUGGAGAAAAGAUUACUGCGGAACCGUCGACCCAGGACGACCCACAGUACAUGUUCCUCCGCGAGCGUCUGAAGGCACUCCGCGAGGGCUGGGCGGAACUGCAGCAAAUGUGGGAGAACCGACAGCAGUUGCUGGCGCAAAGCCUCGAGCUGCAGCUACUGCAGCGUGACGCUCGCCAGGCCGAGGUGUUGCUCGCGCACCAGGAACUUAGGUUGGCAAAGACUGAACCACCAACGAACUUGGAACAAGCUGAGAACCUCAUCAAAGAACACGAAGCCUUCCUUACGACAAUGGAAGCAAAUGACGACAAGAUCAAUUCUGUUGUACAGUUCGCCAAUCGUCUCGUAGAAGAGAGGCACUUCGAUGCCGACAAGAUUCAACGCAAAGCCGAAAAUAUCGAGGCGAGGCGUAACGCCAACCGCGAAAAAGCUGUACAGCAAAUGGAAAAACUCCAAGAUCAACUACAGCUGCACCAGUUCCUUCAAGACUGCGACGAACUCGGAGAGUGGGUGCAAGAAAAAAAUGUCACUGCUCAAGACGAUACCUACCGCUCGGCGAAAACUAUCCACUCAAAAUGGACACGCCAUCAAGCGUUCGAGGCAGAGAUCGCGGCUAACAAGGAACGCUUAUUUGCCGUACAGAACGCGGCCGAGGAACUGAUGAAACAAAAACCGGAAUUCGUGGAAGUUAUUUCACCGAAGAUGCAGGAGUUGCAAGAUCAAUUCGAAAACCUGCAAACAACUACAAAGGACAAAGGUGAACGUCUCUUCGACGCCAACCGCGAGGUGUUGCUGCACCAGACGUGCGACGAUAUCGACUCAUGGAUGAACGAGCUCGAGAAGCAAAUCGAGAACACAGACACUGGCACUGAUCUAGCAUCUGUAAACAUUCUUAUGCAGAAGCAACAGAUGAUUGAGACUCAGAUGGCCGUCAAAGCGAAACAGGUGACUGAGCUGGAGACCCAAGCGGAGUACUUGCAGAAGACAGUGCCUGAUAAGAUGGAGGAGAUAAAGGAGAAGAAGAAGUCUGUGGAACAGCGAUUCGAGCAAUUGAAGGCCCCGUUGUUGGACCGCCAACGUCAACUGGCGAAGAAGAAGGAGGCGUUCCAGUUCCGCCGCGACGUAGAGGAUGAGAAACUGUGGAUCCACGAGAAGAUGCCGCUCGCCACCAGCACGGACUAUGGCAACUCACUAUUCAAUGUACAAAUGCUCCAGAAGAAGAACCAGUCGCUUAAGACUGAAACCGAUAACCACGAGCCAAGAAUCUUAACUGUGAUUGCGAAUGGACAGAAGCUGAUCGACGAGGGACAUGAAGCCACUCCCGAGUUCAAGAAGCUCAUUGAAGAGCUCACGGCGAGAUGGCAAGAACUUAAAGAUGCUAUCGAACAACGCAAGAGCAACCUGUCCCAAUGGGAGAAGGCUCAACAGUACCUAUUCGAUGCGAAUGAGGCGGAGGCUUGGAUGAGUGAGCAGGAACUGUACAUGAUGGUGGAGGACCGCGGCAAGGACGAGAUCUCCGCACAGAAUCUGAUGAAGAAGCACGAGAUCCUGGAACAGGCGGUGGACGACUACGCGCAGACCAUCAGGCAGCUCGGCGAGACCGUUCGUCAACUCACUGCGGAGGAACACCCACUCAGUGAGCAGAUCUCGGUGAAGCAGUCGCAGGUGGAUAAGCUGUACGCGGGACUAAAGGACCUGGCGGGCGAGCGGCGAGCCAAGCUGGACGAGGCGCUGCGGCUGUUCCAGCUGUCGCGCGAGGUCGACGACCUCGAGCAGUGGAUCACCGAGCGCGAACUCGUCGCCGGCUCGCAGGAGCUCGGGCAAGACUACGACCACGUCACGCUGCUGUGGGAACGAUUCAAGGAGUUCGCCCGCGAGACCCAAGCAGUGGGUUCGGAACGUGUGGCGACCGCCGAGCGGAUCGCGGACCAGAUGAUAGCCAUGGGCCACUCGGACAAUGCCACGAUCGCGCAAUGGAAGGAGGGGCUCAAGGAGACCUGGCAGGAUCUCCUCGAGCUCAUCGAGACCAGGACACAGAUGCUGGCGGCGUCGCGCGAGCUGCACAAGUACUUCCACGACUGCAAGGACACGCUGCAGCGCGUGAACGAGAAGGCGCGCGGCGUGAGCGACGAGCUCGGCCGCGACGCCAUCAGCGUGGGCGCGCUGCAGCGCAAGCACCACAACUUCAUGCAGGACCUCGCCACGCUGCAGCACCAGGUCGACGCCGUCAGCGCCGAGUGCGCCCGCCUGCAGGCCUCCUACGCCGGCGACAAGGCGCUGGAGAUCACGCGGCGCGAGGCGGAGCUGCGCGAGGCGUGGCGCGCGCUGACGGCGGCGUGCGGCGCGCGGCGCGGCAAGCUGCUCGACGCCGACGACCUCUACCGCUUCCUCACGCAGGUGCGCGCGCUCGCGCUCUGGAUGGACGACGUCGUGCGCCAGAUGAACACCGGCGAGAAGCCCAGAGAUGUAAGCGGCGUGGAACUUCUAAUGAACAACCACCAAUCGUUGAAAGCGGAAAUCGAUACCCGCGAGGACACAUUCACAGCGUGCAUAUCACUCGGGAAAGAACUACUGGCUAGACAGCACUACGCCUCCGCUGACAUCAAGGAGAAGCUGCUGCAGCUCACGAACCAACGGAACGCGCUGUUGCGCAGGUGGGAGGAGCGCUGGGAGAACCUGCAGCUUAUCCUGGAGGUGUACCAAUUCGCGCGCGACGCAGCUGUGGCGGAGGCGUGGCUGAUCGCGCAGGAGCCGUACCUGAUGUCGCAGGAGCUCGGCCACACCAUCGACGAGGUCGAGAGCCUCAUUAAGAAGCACGAGGCCUUCGAGAAAUCCGCUGCAGCGCAGGAGGACCGCUUCAGCGCAUUGCAGAGGCUCACCACGCUUGAACUUCGUGAAACAUCGUUAUGGCCUAGCACACAGCCUUGGGAAAACUAUGACGAGACCGUGUACACAUAUAUACCUCCACCUCACACCCAUAAAAAAUCCCUAACACUACCCGUCACUAAACCAGAACGGUCUGUAUGUAAAGUUGUCGAAGACAUCAUAACAAAUAGUGAUAAAUAUAAAGUAUCAGACAAGAUUAAAGCGAGAACACUUACUAUUAAUCUAGCGCCUCGUAAGAACGACUCCUAUCUCUGGUCAGUUGUAACCAACAACAGUCUAUCGACUAUAUCGGAAGACAGCAGUUCACCCCUAUCGCUAAAUAGCAGCGUGCCCUUGUCACCACUCAACACUCCCUUUUCACCAGAAAUAUAUAGUCCAGUGUUUUUCGAAUACCCAGACGUGGAUAAACAAUCAAAUAAUAAUAUAUACUUGUCUUGUAUAGAUUUCAUAUUAUGGGAGAGAUUAUCUUACCAGAAUGUAUUCCCUAAUGUUUGCCUACUCAGACCGAAAAGCGAGUGUUCAUCUAAAUCUGGCAGUAUGAAACGCUUAAAGCGUUUGCUGACACUCAAAAAGAAACCAUCCGAGUCAGACACUAAAGGUGAAGUUGCAGUGUUAUCGAUGCCUACUCUGACUGGAAGUACAAAUACGAUUAACGACUUAGGAAAAGACGUCAAGAAUAUACCCUUGAACUCAUCGCUUCUACUACUAUCCCAGACCCGCUCCCUCCUGUUCCCUGAAGGUGCAUGGUAUUUUAACUAUUUGGAUAGUUUCGAAGUGAAAGAAAUGAAGCGGCGCCAAGAAGCAGCAGAAGCGGCAGAGCGCGAGGAACGCGAACGGCAAGCGGCCGCCGCGGCCGCCGCCGCCGCUCAAGACACCGUGGACCGAGCUGCUGACGUCACCGACCAGCCGCAGGAGGCGAGUAGAGCCCAGGCGGAGUCCCCCGCCCCCGCCCCUGCCCCCGCCGCCCCCGCCGCCCCCGCCCAGCCCCUGCAGACCUCCCCGCCCCGCCCCUCCACGUCGAAACAGACGCCGGCCAAGCCCGCCCGCCUCUCUACGCCCGGCACGAGCUCGUCGCCCGCGACACCCUCUAGCUCCGGUAAGCUGAAGUCGCGGUCGCGUAGCAAGUCGCCCUUCAGGAGUUUCCGUUGGCGCACUGCGAAGAAGCUGAUCGCUGGUUCACCCCACAGCGACGACGACGAAGAGGGCGCUAGCCCCGCCAGCGAGGACGAGGGCGUGGAGGGAACGUUGGUGCGCAAACACGAGUGGGAGUCCGCCGCCAAACGCGCUUCUAACAGAUCAUGGGACAAGGUGUACGUAGUGGCGAAGGACGGGCGCAUGUCGUUCUACAAGGACCAGAAGGCGUACAAGGCGGCGCCGGACCAGCCGUGGCGCGGCGAAGUGCCGCUCGACCUCAACGGGGCCGUCGUCGAAGUCGCCGCCAACUACACCAAGAAAAAGCACGUGUUCCGGCUCCGGCUGGGCAGCGGCGCGGAGUGGCUGCUGCAGGCGGGCGACGAGGCGGACAUGGCGCGCUGGCUGGAGGCGCUGCGCGCGCGCGCCGCCGCGCCCGCCGCGCGCUCGCACACGCUGCCCGCGCCCGCCAACGCAGAGCCCAAGCGCCGCUCCUUCUUCACGCUCAAGAAGAAGUCAGUCCGCACGCUAACAUUCCUAUUCGCCCCGUAGGCGCCUGCACCGCGCUCCACGCAUCACGCAUCACGCAUCACGCAUCACGCAUGACGCAUGCCUCGCACUUAAAUACCGACGAAGUGCUGGAGUGCCGUUCCGUCAUGUUUCCUCACCAGGCGUCAGCGACACGACAAGCAGCAUCAGCGCUACGUACCAGCAUGCAGUCAGCAGUCCGCACUCGUGACUACAAACUACAAGAGCGCACCGACGACGCCGCAUAUUUCUCACGAUGCUUGCUUCCGUAAGCUUUGCUACUGAAGAAAUUAUGUCGACGCGGCAAUAACGAUUAAGGAACCAUAAAUGUUAUUAUUUUGUUGCGUACAAAUACGUUAUUUAAGACUGUAUGGUAAUGAGUGUAUGAAACGUUCGCAUCCCUGUAUUUAUUGUCGGCACACGCAAAUAGACACCACUGACUCGACCGCGUAUGCGAGAUCCCACCCCCCCGAAUGUGUAAUUAUUGUUAUAUUAAACGAUUAUUAUAAAAUGAGAAUACAUAUUUAAAAAUUCUAAAUGCGACGCUAUUUAUGAAUAGAUGAUUUUAGUGUUUAAAUUCAGAUUGAAAUAUAUAAAUAUAUAUAUAUUUUAAUGAUUUAUAUAUUAUAUAUAUAAAAAUGGAGCUAGUGUAAUGUAAAUUCAGUUGAACUAGAAAUGUAUGUCGUUCAAUUCGCUAAUGAAAUAAUUCAAACUUUAAAUUUUUAUUAGAUAAUAAUUGACCAAGCAAAUAUCAGUCUAUAGACGGAGUUAAUAAACUGCAUUUGAUAUGUAACUUAGCUAGGACCGAGCGUAACCGUAUGUGCAUCCAAUCGGUGACAACCCUAUCCAGUGAUGAUACCUUUGUAUUGACCGCGCCGCUCCACAGCGGCGGAGCGUGACGCGAUAUGUUCACACGAUUGUAACGUAAGCUACGUAACUCUAAUAGAAUUAAUUUUCCAUUAUAAAGUGUCUUCUUUCCAAUAUUUCGACGUUGCUGUUUAUAAUAUGCCGCAUUUAAAUUCAGUAAUUCCUUCUUAGACUUCGUAACUAUAAUGGACAGGUAGCGAUAGAUUGUAGACGGUGCAUUUAUCGCACCCCGGGCAGCAACGGCGGAGUACUAUACCUAUAUGAUAGUAAUACGAGAUGUAAGUAUGCUUGUUCGCCUCGUAAGCGCUUCUACAAAGUAACGUGUCUUUAUUAUGACGUAUUAAUUUAGUUAUUACGUUUACUGCCAAUAUUUUAACAAAACGUUAAUUUAUACGAUUCAUGUUUAAAGUUCACCUUAAUUAUAAUUAGGAUGACACAUUUUUAGUUCUGUUUGUGACUCGUCUUAUGAUUAUUGUAUUGUAUUGUAUUGUAUAGUUGUGUUGCGCGGUGCGUCCGCGGCGCGGUGACGCGCCACUGUGCUGUGUAUCGAUCAGCUCGCCAUCGCCUUACUGCCACCCUGUUUCACACUAUUGCAUGUAAACCUAUAUUUAAAUAUUUUAUUUUAAAAUUUUACUUUUUUGAGGAAAAUAUAAUAAAGAUGUUUUCAAAUAAA